rnacentral:rRNA from 1 species
CCUACGGGAGGCAGCAGUGAGGAAUAUUGGUCAAUGGGCGCUAGCCUGAACCAGCCAAGUAGCGUGAAGGAUGACUGCCCUAUGGGUUGUAAACUUCUUUUAUAUGGGGAUAAAGUUCAGUAUGUAUACUGCUUUGCAUGUACCUUAUGCAUAAGGAUCGGCUAACUCCGUGCCAGCAGCCGCGGUAAUACGGAGGAUCCGAGCGUUAUCCGGAUUUAUUGGGUUGAAAGGAAGCGUAGGCGGGUUGUUAAGUCAGUUGUGAAAGUUUGGGGCUCAACCGUAGAAUUGCAGUGGAUACUGGCAUGCUAGAGUACAGUAGAGGGAGGCGGAAUUCGUGGUGUAGCGGUGAAAUGCUUAGAGAUCACGAAGAACUCCGAUUGCGAAGGCAGCCUGCUGGACUGUAACUGACGCUGAUGCGCGAAAGUGUGGGUAUCAAACAGGAUUAGAUACCCUUGUAGUC